AUACGGAGGGUGCAAGCGUUAAUCGGAAUUACUGGGCGUAAAGCGCGCGUAGGCGGUUUAGUCAGUCAGAUGUGAAAGCCCCGGGCUCAACCUGGGAACUGCAUUUGAUACUGCUGAACUAGAGUAUGGUAGAGGGAAGUGGAAUUCCGGGUGUAGCGGUGAAAUGCGUAGAUAUCCGGAGGAACACCAGUGGCGAAGGCGACUUCCUGGACCAAUACUGACGCUGAGGUGCGAAAGCGUGGGUAGCAAACGGGAUUAGAAACCCUAGUAGUCC
rnacentral:rRNA from 1 species